rnacentral:lncRNA from 1 species
CCGAAGGUCGAAAAUGUUGCAUCUGUUAGGUGUUGAAAUGGUGGAACUGUUCACUGUUGCUUGUUCAAUUUUCUUUCCAAACAUGCUUUUUUUCUCAUGUCUGUACAAUGUUACAGAAACCAACUUGUGGUGGUCCGAUUUCUCUGCCUUGCCUUAACAAUGGCUCGCCUUGCCUUAACAAUGGCUCGCAUAGUCUUUCACAAUCACGUUUGCUCCUUUUGCAAAAAAGGAGCCUAGGGGUGAAAAUCAAGGUGCAAAAAACAUUGGCCAUUUCUAUAGGAAAUUAGGAAUGUAUUCAUGAUUGUUUUGUGA